UACGUAGGGGGCUAGCGUUGUCCGGAAUCAUUGGGCGUAAAGAGCGUGUAGGCGGCCCGGUAAGUCCGCUGUGAAAGUCGGGGGCUCAACCCUCGAAUGCCGGUGGAUACUGUCGGGCUAGAGUGCGGAAGAGGCGAGUGGAAUUCCUGGUGUAGCGGUGGAAUGCGCAGAUAUCAGGAGGAACACCGGUGGCGAAGGCGGGUCUCUGGGCCGAUACUGACGCUGAGGAGCGAAAGCGUGGGGAGCGAACAGG
rnacentral:rRNA from 1 species